GACGGGGCCGGCACAGCGAGGAGCAUGUGGUUUAAUUCGAUGAUACGCGAGGAACCUUACCUGGGCUCGAACGUAAGAUGACUGUAGGUGAAAGCUUACAUCUCUUCGGAGCAUUUUACGAGGUGCUGCAUGGUUGUCGUCAGCUCGUGCCGUGAGGUGUCGGGUUAAGUCCCAUAACGAGCGCAACCCCUACCUUUAGUUGCCAUCAGGUUAAGCUGGGGACUCUAAAGGAACUGCCUACGCAAGUAGUGAGGAAGGCGGGGAUGACGUCAAAUCAGCACGGCCCUUACGUCCAGGGCUACACACGUGCUACAAUGGCCGAUACAGAGGGCAGCUACCUGGUGACAGGAUGCAAAUCUCCAAAGUCGGUCUCAGUUCGGAUCGGAGUCUGCAACCCGACUCCGUGAAGUUGGAUUCGCUAGUAAUCGCGCAUCCAGCCAUGGCGCGGUGAAUACGUUCCCGGGCCUU
rnacentral:rRNA from 1 species